GGCUCAGGAUGAACGCUAGCGAUAGGCUUAACACAUGCAAGUCGAGGGGCAGCACGGUGUAGCAAUACACUGGUGGCGACCGGCGUACGGGUGCGUAACACGUAUGCAACCUACCCGCUAUGGGGGAUAACCCGGCGAAAGUCGGACUAAUAUCCCAUAUUAUUCUUACCGGGCAUCCGGUGAGUCUGAAAGAUUUAUCGAUUGCGGAUGGGCAUGCGGAUGAUUAGCUAGUAGGUGGGGUAACGGCUCACCUAGGCGACGAUCAUUAGGGGUUCUGAGAGGAAGGUCCCCCACACUGGAACUGAGACACGGUCCAGACUCCUACGGGAGGCAGCAGUGAGGAAUAUUGGUCAAUGGGCGCUAGCCUGAACCAGCCAAGUCGCGUGAAGGAUGACAGAAUCUAUGGUUUGUAAACGUCUUUUGCAGGGGAGUAAAGUGCGACACGUGUGUUGUAUUGCAAGUACCCUGCGAAUAAGCAUCGGCUAACUCCGUGCCAGCAGCUGC
rnacentral:rRNA from 1 species